AUGAACACAUUUGGUUUCUUCAAGCUAACAUGUUCAAAUUCUUUCGAGUCCAAGAUAAAUUGUUUGCUUUCUCAACUCAAACAAUUAACUUUACUGUCAUCAUUUGUUUUUCUCUCUAUAUAUAUCGAUUGCUUUCUUCUUCAUCUUCCUUCUUCCUCUUCAUCUGAUAUGUCAUUAGAAAUUAGUGUGGUAAAUCAAUUAGAAAUAGGAAAGACGGAGCACUGA